rnacentral:rRNA from 1 species
GGAAUAUUCCACAAUGGGCGAAAGCCUGAUGGAGCGACGCCGCGUGAGUGAAGAAGGGCUUCGGCUCGUAAAGCUCUUUUCUCGUUGACGAAUUAGCCUUCGAGGCAGUUGACGGUAGACGGGGAAUAAGCCACGGCUAACUACGUGCCAGCAGCCGCGGUAAUACGUAGGUGGCAAGCGUUGUCCGGAAUUAUUGGGCGUAAAGGGAGCGCAGGCGGGACGGUAAGUCCAAAUUAAAAGUGCAGUAGUAAUGACUGUGAUGGUUUGGAAACUAUCGUUCUUGAGAGCAGGAGAGGCAAGCGGAAUUCCCAGUGUAGCGGUGAAAUGCGUAGAUAUUGGGAGGAACACCAGUGGCGAAGGCGGCUUGCUGGACUGAGUCUGACGCUGAGGCUCGAAAGCCAGGGUAGCGAACG